UAGGGAAUCUUCGGCAAUGGACGAAAGUCUGACCGAGCAACGCCGCGUGAGUGAAGAAGGUUUUCGGAUCGUAAAACUCUGUUGGUAGAGAAGAACGUUGGUGAGAGUGGAAAGCUCAUCAAGUGACGGUAACUACCCAGAAAGGGACGGCUAACUACGUGCCAGCAGCCGCGGUAAUACGUAGGUCCCGAGCGUUGUCCGGAUUUAUUGGGCGUAAAGCGAGCGCAGGUGGUUUAUUAAGUCUGGUGUAAAAGGCAGUGGCUCAACCAUUGUAUGCAUUGGAAACUGGUAGACUUGAGUGCAGGAGAGGAGAGUGGAAUUCCAUGUGUAGCGGUGAAAUGCGUAGAUAUAUGGAGGAACACCGGUGGCGAAAGCGGCUCUCUGGCCUGUAACUGACACUGAGGCUCGAAAGCGUGGGGAGCAAACAGGAUUAGAUACCCUGGUAGUCCACGCCGUAAACGAUGAGUGCUAGAUGUAGGGAGCUAUAAGUUCUCUGUAUCGCAGCUAACGCAAUAAGCACUCCGCCUGGGGGAGUACGACC
rnacentral:rRNA from 1 species